rnacentral:rRNA from 1 species
GGCUAACGCUGGCGGCGUGUCUUAGCCAUGCAAGUCGAGCGGACUUAUGGGGUAACUUAUAAGUCAGCGGCGGACGGCGGAGUAACACGUAGCUAACCUACCCUCUGGACGGGGAUAACCUACCGAAAGGUGGGCUAAUACCCGAUGUAGUCAUCCUGUAUAGGGGUGAUGAAAGGUGGGCUUCUGUUUACAAGCUCAUGCUGGAGGAGGGGGCUGCGGCCUAUCAGGUAGUUGGUAGGGUAAUAGCCUACCAAGCCGAUGACGGGUAGCCGGCCUGAGAGGGUGACCGGCCCGAGGGGCACUGAGAUACGGGUCCCACUCCUACGGGAGGCAGCAGGCUAGAAAUUUGGGCAAUGGGGGAAACCCUGACCCAGUGACGCCGCGUGCAGGAAGGAGCCCUUCGGGGUGUAAACUGCUGUCGUGUAGGGAGAAGGGUACUAAGGUGAACAAUCUUAGUACUUGACGGUACUACAGGAGGAAGCCCAGGCUAACUCCGUG